rnacentral:rRNA from 1 species
CCAAAUUUCAUGGGAUUUCUUCCUUCAACAUCUCUCGCGUACGAUGCACGCCGUGUGAGGGAUGCCCGUGUUUUUUACUGUGACUAAAAAAGCGCGACCAAAGCAGUCAAGCGACAUGAUUUCAAAGCAUGGGAUAACAACGAAGCAGCCUACGGAUUACCGUUUCGGCUUUUGUUGGUUUUAAGAUCUGUGGGAGAUUAUGGUCUGGCAUGACAAGCGGUUCGCGAGUUUCGGCUCGCACGCCUUCCGCCCCUUGGCUUUCGGGCCUUGGGAACCGGUUUGUCGGACUAGGAAUGAGGAGGGUUGUUCGGGGGAGAACGUACUUGAGCGUGAGAGGUGAAAUUCUUAGACCGCUCAAGACGAACUACAGCGAAGGCAUCCUCCAAGGAUACCUUCCUCAAUCAAGAACCAAAGUGCGGGAUCGAAGAUGAUUAG